rnacentral:rRNA from 1 species
CCUACGGGCGGCUGCAGUGGGGAAUUUUGGACAAUGGGCGCAAGCCUGAUCCAGCCAUUCCGCGUGCAGGAUGAAGGCCCUCGGGUUGUAAACUGCUUUUGUACGGAACGAAAAGGCUCUGGCUAAUACCUGGGGCUGAUGACGGUACCGUAAGAAUAAGCACCGGCUAACUACGUGCCAGCAGCCGCGGUAAUACGUAGGGUGCAAGCGUUAAUCGGAAUUACCGGGGGUAAAGCGUUCGCAGGCGGUUGAAAUCCCCGGGCUCAACCUGGGAACUGCAUUUGUGACUGCACGGCUAGAGUACGGCAGAGGGGGAUGGAAUUCCGCGUGUAGCAGUGAAAUGCGUAGAUAUGCGGAGGAACACCGAUGGCGAAGGCAAUCCCCUGGGCCUGUACUGACGCUCAUGCACGAAAGCGUGGGGAGCAAACAGGAUUAGAUACCCUGGUAGUC